CUUGAUAUGAUAUUGAUUGACUUUAGUGAUUUGGUUACUUUAAUUUGCAUAAUAGGUUGGUUAGGAAUAUGAAAACUAACAACCUUACGAAAAUAAUCAAUUCAUAAGUUCCUCCCAUGAGUCGAUGGAACGGGAAGGAAACAUGACCAUCCAUUCUCUAACAGUUUUCUUUAGGGUAGAAAUAAAAAGAUGGAACUUUCUUGCAGCAUUAUGACCAUAGAAAUGCAUUAAACAUUCAUAAGAGUAAAUAUGGUCAAUAGGAUCACUUGUUCCAUCGUACAUCUCUAAGUUCAGGACUUUGAAGGAUCUAUUUAUCCGGGCCUCAUCAAAUCCUUGCUGAAAGGGGAUGAUCAAUAUGAUUUGUUGCUUGUGAUCCUAGCACAUCCUUCAAAAGAUCUUUGGGGAGAUGUCUCUCCAGCAGAACUAUUGAGACUUCGACGUCAUCUUCAUGUCGUGAUAUCUAUUUUUGUAAUGUGAAGAAAAUCUGGUUCUUUUUUUUAGCGCCUGACUGGUUGAAUCAGAAGAACUUGUACUCGUGCUUCUAUGAGAAAAAGAAUAUCUAUGAGUGCGACGAGAACCACGACGUUCGAGACGGGAAAGUGUUCCCCAUUUUCUCAAUAGGUCGUUCGAGACGUCUUUAACCCUCAUCAGAUUAGUAAGUUGUUUGUCAAGCUCUUUUUACUAGAGUAGAAGCACUUUCUUUUUAUCCUGAACUUCCUAGAGAUGACGUUGCUUGUCAGCGUCUGUUGGUUAACGAGACUACGAGCGUGCUUCGCC
rnacentral:lncRNA from 1 species